rnacentral:rRNA from 1 species
CCUACGGGUGGCAGCAGUGGGGAAUAUUGCACAAUGGGCGCAAGCCUGAUGCAGCCAUGCCGCAUGUGUGAAGAAGGCCUUCGGGUUGUAAAGCACUUUCAGCGGGGAGGAAGGCGUUAAGGUUAAUAACCUUGGCGAUUGACGUUACCCGCAGAAGAAGCACCGGCUAACUCCGUGCCAGCAGCCGCGGUAAUACGGAGGGUGCAAGCGUUAAUCGGAAUUACUGGGCGUAAAGCGCACGCAGGCGGUCUGUCAAGUCGGAUGUGAAAUCCCCGGGCUCAACCUGGGAACUGCAUUCGAAACUGGCAGGCUAGAGUCUUGUAGAGGGGGGUAGAAUUCCAGGUGUAGCGGUGAAAUGCGUAGAGAUCUGGAGGAAUACCGGUGGCGAAGGCGGCCCCCUGGACAAAGACUGACGCUCAGGUGCGAAAGCGUGGGGAGCAAACAGGAUUAGAUACCCGAGUAGUC